rnacentral:rRNA from 1 species
GAUGAACGCUGGCGGCGUGCCUAAUACAUGCAAGUCGAGCGAACAGACGAGGAUUUUGCUCCCCUGACGUUAUCGGCCGAGGGGUGAGUAACACGUGGAUAACCUACCUAUAAGACUGGGGUAACUUCGGGAAACCGUAGCUACUACCGGAUAAUAUAUUGAACCGCAUGGUUCAAUAGUGAAAGACGGUUUUGCUGUCAGUUAUAGACGGCCCCGGGCCGCAUUAGCUAGUUGGUAAGGUAACUGCUUACCAACGCUACGAUGCGUAUCCGACCUGAGAGGGAGAUCGGCGACACGGGAACUGAGACACGGCCGAGACACCUGCGGUGGGACGCAGUAGGGAAUCUUCCGCAAUGGGCCAAGGCCUGACGGAGGAACACCGGGUGAAGGAUGAAGGACUGCGGAUCGUAGAAUGCUGUUAUCAGGAAAGAACAAAUGUGUAAGUAACUAUGCACGUCUUGACGGUACCUGAACAAAAAGCCACGGCUAACUACGUG